GAAAUGGGGACGCUUCUCUUCACCCAGUGCCACCGCACGUUAAGUACCAGAAGGCUGCCUGUUCUUCCACGAGUACAGAUUGAGAUGCUCAGAGCCCCGGUCAGAACAACAGCGGAACAGUUGGGGGACACUUGAGCCAGGAAUUAGACGAAGGAUGCGUCUCCUGCUUUGUUGUUGGAACUGGCCCUAGAUCACUCACAAACUGUGCUGGUGGAGGACGGCAGAGCAGAGGGAUCUUCCUUCAGGUUGCUCUCCAAGAAGUGGGGGAGCAAAUAACAGCCUAGUCAUAGGGCCUCCGUGCAAUGAUCACAGUCUCCCUUGGAGCCUGACUGAGGAACCAGCGUGCAGCCAAGGCAAAGAGAAAGCCAUGAGAAGGUGCUUUCCCUGGGAGAAGAAAAAAGACGACAUUUCAGUCGCCGUGAGAGGGAAAAAGACAGCUCUCCUUCACAGGCCUGGCAACCCCACGGAACUGAAGCUAUAGAUCACGGUAGAGCGAACAGGAACAGUAGGAGAGGUUCUCUGAGAAGAGAUCUCAGCAUUUUUGUAAACAUCUGACAAGAAUCAGAGACCCAGAUCGAUGGCAUUAAGCCAUUUUGUGUGUCAGUAAUUAGACAGCAGGAACAACCUCUUCCCAGCAACGCCUAGAUUACAAGUGUUCAUGACAUCACACCUUCUCUCUGAAAGGAUCUGCUCCCCCCUAAAUGAAAAGGAGGAAACCAGGAUUAGCUCCAAACAAAAAAAUUAACAUAAAUUAGCUCAGGGAGAAAAACGUAUUUAAAUGAAGUCUUCAAAGGCCUGGAAUUCUUUGAAUAAGAGGUAAGGACUAUAGCAUAGAAAAACCCAGUGAUGCCCAAUUGUCUCAGCUCAGAUUUCCCAGAAGCAGAGCCUGAAAUGAGGAUUCUUGCUCCAGUGACUUAUUGGCUUGUGCUCUCAGGGCGGGAGAGUAGGGAAAGAGUAGGUCUGAGGGCGAAAGCUAAGCAAGAACUAGUCUUAGCUGGAGACCAGCUUCAGUGUGGCUCCCACUGGGACCCCCUGGAGCGCAAACUUCACUCAACUCCCACCUUGAGGUGAAGGGGCUGGCCUCUGCCCAAUCAUCAUCUGCCAAGGUCUAUGAGGGGAGGUAGGUGGGCUACACAAGAGUCUUAGGUUGGCUGGGGCAGGGUGAGUGGGGGAUGCUCCAGAAUGACAGCAGCCGUGAGCUGUUGGCAGCUAUAGGAUGGGUGCACUGGCUGGUAAAGAGGAUGUGGGUGGGGCACCAAUGGCAUCCACUAUCCUAAGUCAGUGUUAGAAGAGCAGCAGCAGGCCGUGACCUGAUGCACAGAGCAGGACCUUGGCUGGCAAAGCAGUGGCUGAACACAAUAGGAAGCUCCUGUGGAUGUUCAAUAAAAGCCAUUCCCAUCUGACCAGAAUGAAAGUCCUUCCUUUUCGGAGGUGCAGAAGGGGAAGAAACAAAGAAUCAGAGAGCACAUCCAGAAAAGCCUCUGGAACCACUCCCACAAGCUGAGGGUCUGCUGUGGGUCUCGCUUCCUUGGUGCUCACCAAGUUUCAUCAACUCCUGGGGGGCAGAUCUGUCAGCUUUCCCAAGGGAUUGGGUGACAUCCAAAUGUCAUGUUGGAAAGUACCACUUAGUAGUCUCUCUUUCCUGGAAUGAAAGAAUCUUUGAGUCAACAUGGGAACAUCACAUAUUCAACAGCUUCCCAAAGGCUUAAAUGUUGAUUUAUCUGUGUUGCUGGCCAACCCAGGCUCCUUGCUGACUUAGCACAUGGACUGGAGAGAAUCAUACCUUUUAGUCUGAAGAUCAGGAUCCAUAAUCUAAAGGAGCAAGAGGCAGCAGGAGACUCAUCCCGAAUAUCCUCUGCUUAGUCUUCCAACUCAAAACUGGCCAACAGGACUGAACAAACCGAAAAUGUGAACACACAUUGCUUUGCAAGAUGCCAUUGAUGUCACAGCACAGCCAUUUGGAAAAAGUGAGAUAGGCCCUAGUUUUCCCUUCAAAUAAGUAGUUCCAUAGCAAAAAAUAAAAAAAUAAAAAUUAGCAUUGUUUUUUUCUUUUUAAGACUACGUGACAGUAAACAACAAUUUGGCUAAGUUUUUUUUCCUAACAGAAUGUUUUUGAGUAUCAUGUAGUCAUUCCUGUAGUCAAAGCACAAAUUAGUCCACAGAGGUGACUAAUUUUUUUAAAAGUUGCAACUUUCCUUGGUAAUCUAUUCCUAAGCUUUACAAUUUUCUCUCCCAAGAAUUUAUUCCUCACGUUGGACCUGGACCAUUUCUCUCACAACUGUCUCUUCUUUUGUCUUCAGGAAAAAUAAAGAACAUUAUAUUACUAAAUACAAUGGUGUAGUAUACCUUUGCCUAAAUGAAAUAUUGGUCUGUUCCCUCAAAUUUCUCCCAUGCAACUCAAAUAAUCAUAAAAUCCUAAUUUCUUCAUCUCCUUCUUAUACGUUAUUGUUUAUACAUAGGUGCUAUCUGUUGUUUCCAAAGUUCUAAAUAGUUCUGACACUUGCGAUUCAGAAUUGGUGCUGUCUUCUCAAGUUCUUGGUCAAAGAUCUUCCCCCGAAAGCCUGAUUGAGGGCCACCUGGGCAGCAGCCAUCGACGUAUCUGGGAGGCCCCAGUCUCCUCUGAGCAUGGUGGUUAAGACUGUGGGAGUGGAGGCAGACCAAUCUGUGUUUGAAUUCCAGCUAUGCCAUUUACUGUUUGUUCAUACUUGGGUAGUAAUUAACAGCCCUGUGCUUAGGAAAUGAGGCUAAUAAUUGUACCUAUUUUGUAAAAUUUUUAUGAAGAUGGAAUGAGACAAAACCGUGAAAUAAUAGACACUUCGACAAUCAUGUUAGGGAUUGUUAGAAUAAACUUUAGUUCUUGUUAUCAUUAUAUAUUCAUUUGUCGUUUACCUGAGUUCUAUUGGUGAAUGAAACAAUACCAGAUUUUUAUAUUUCUUCCUCAUUUUUAAUUUUCCCUUUUGAAUGUGUUAGUGUCAAUGAAUGUCAUUGACAUUCCUGGGCCAAAGAUAUAUCUUGUCUCCUUGAGUCAAACAGAGAACCUUCUGACCAGGUCACACCUAGUCUGGAGUACACUAGCCAUUUGAGCAGCACACUCAAGGUUUUAGGACAUGUAGGAGAAAAAGUAGGUCUUCUCGGAAGUCAUUCUUCUAAUUGCCAUGUCAUUGAUCUCUGGCCCAGGUUCUGAAAGAAAUUAGUUCAGAGGGAAGUUCAGCAGAGAGCAAGUGUUAUCUAGAUUUGGAAAAAUAGGGUCC
ensembl:lncRNA